CACGUAGGGCGCGAGCGUUGUCCGGAAUUAUUGGGCGUAAAGAGCUCGUAGGCGGCCUGUUGCGUCCGCUGUGAAAGCCCGGGGCUUAACUCCGGGUCUGCAUUCGAUACGGGUCUGCUGGGGUCCGGCAGGGGAGACUGGAAUUCCUGGUGUAGCGGUGAAAUGCGCAGAGAUCCGGAGGAACACCAAAGGCGAAGGCAGUGUCCUGGGGAGUACCUGACGCUCAGGUGCGAAAGCCAGGGGAGCGAACGGG
rnacentral:rRNA from 1 species